GACGAACGCUGGCGGCGUGCCUAACACAUGCAAGUCGAGCGGAGAUUGCAGCAAUGUAAUCUUAGCGGCGGACGGGUGAGUGACGCGUGGGCAACCUACCUUUAUCUGGGGGAUAACACAGGGAAACUUGUGCUAAUACCGCAUAACAUCAUGAAGAGACAUCUUUUUAUGAUCAAAGGAGUAAUCCGGAUAGAGAUGGGCCCGCGUCCGAUUAGCUAGUUGGUGGUGUAACGGACCACCAAGGCGACGAUCGGUAGCCGAACUGAGAGGUUGAUCGGCCACAUUGGGACUGAGACACGGCCCAGACUCCUACGGGAGGCAGCAGUGGGGAAUAUUGCGCAAUGGGGGAAACCCUGACGCAGCAACGCCGCGUGAAGGAUGAAGGUUUUCGGAUCGUAAACUUCUUUGAUGAGGGACGAAUAAAUGACGGUACCUCAAAAACAAGCCACGGCUAACUACGUGCCAGCCGCCGCCGUAA
rnacentral:rRNA from 1 species